UAGGGAAUCUUCGGCAAUGGGGGCAACCCUGACCGAGCAACGCCGCGUGAGUGAAGAAGGUUUUCGGAUCGUAAAGCUCUGUUGUAAGAGAAGAACGUGUGUGAGAGUGGAAAGUUCACACAGUGACGGUAACUUACCAGAAAGGGACGGCUAACUACGUGCCAGCAGCCGCGGUAAUACGUAGGUCCCGAGCGUUGUCCGGAUUUAUUGGGCGUAAAGCGAGCGCAGGCGGUUUAAUAAGUCUGAAGUUAAAGGCAGUGGCUUAACCAUUGUUCGCUUUGGAAACUGUUAAACUUGAGUGCAGAAGGGGAGAGUGGAAUUCCAUGUGUAGCGGUGAAAUGCGUAGAGAUAUGGAGGAACACCGGUGGCGAAAGCGGCUCUCUGGUCUGUAACUGACGCUGAGGCUCGAAAGCGUGGGGAGCAAACAGG
rnacentral:rRNA from 1 species